GGACUGCUCGUCAUGAGGCCGAGGAAGAAGUCAGUCUCGCUGGUUCCGGGCGGUUGAGUCGACGUGGACCGAGCUGCGCGCGAACACGUCGGUUAUUUUUCUGCUUUGCCGCCUAAACUGCUGCACGCGCAGAGACUCCGGUUAGAUCCCGCGCUCCGGUCUGUGUGUUGGACCGAGGGACGGCUCGGCUCGCUCGUAGCCGAGGUUUGAGUGUUUGAAGGCCGCCAGGCCGCACGCGCUCGCCGCCAUGAGUUACGGCCGCGCUCCGCCGGACGUCGACGGCAUGACUUCCCUCAAAGUGGACAACUUAACGUACCGAACCUCGCCCGAGACCCUCAGACGUGUCUUCGAGAAGUACGGCCGAGUAGGGGACGUCUACAUCCCCCGAGACCGCUACACGAAGGAGAGUCGCGGCUUCGCCUUCGUGCGCUUCCACGACAAGCGGGACGCCGAGGACGCGAUGGACGCCAUGGACGGCGCGCUGCUCGACGGCCGGGAGCUGCGGGUUCAGAUGGCCCGGUACGGCAGACCCCCUGACUCCCACUACGGCGGAGGGCGGCGAGGAGGGCCGGCCAGGAGGCACAGCGGGCACGGACGCCGGAGCAGAAGCUAUUCCCCCAGCCCGAGACACAGAAGACGCAGCAGAUCCCGCAGCAGGAGCCGCUCUCGUUCCCGAAGCAGAUCCCGCUACAGCAAGUCCAGAUCCCGGUCCUACUCCAGAUCCAAGUCCCACUCUCCCAGGAACAAGAAGGCCAAGGCCAAGUCCCAAUCUCGUUCCAGAUCUAGAUCCAGGUCCCGGUCCAAGUCCAAAUCCAAGUCCAAGUCCAAGUCCAGAUCCAGGUCCAGAAGCCACACCCCGUCCUCCAAAAGAGGGUCCAGGUCGAGAUCUAAAAGCCAGCCCAAGUCUGCAGCAGAAAACGGAGGCGAGUCCCCAUAGAGCGCAGCAUGUCAGCAACAGCUGCGGCAUCCUGUUUGCUAAAGUGGAGUUUGAGCUGAGCUGAGGCAGUAUGAGCAGUUAGAAGGUGUGAGGUGAGCUGCCCACAGGCCGCCUGCUGCUGCUGGUGAGGGUGUCUGUGCAGCAGGGUGGAGGCAGGCAGUGUUGGGGUUUGGUGUUGAGGUGACUUCAGAACUUCAAGUCGACGACUGGAUCCCACGCAAGCUCCAGUGUCCUGCUGUCAAAGGUUAUUAUUGUCUUCCAUGCUUGUUUGUUUUUCUUCAUUUAGCCACAAAAAGGGCUUUUUCUUUUUUUUUUUUUUCUCCUCCCCCAUUUCAUCGAUGUGCUAUGACUUUUAUUUCUUCAUAACUUGUUUCUGAUUUUAACGAUCUAGCGCAACAUGGAGCAGAGUCUCUGCUCCGACUUGCUUUUGUUAUGAUUAUUCAAGAUAAUAAACAAUGUGCUCAUGUUUAAUUUUGGAGUCGUGCUUUAAGUUGCCCCUUUCCUUUCUAAGCUCUUCUCCCCCACGGCCUGUAUCGAGAAGCAAGUACAGAGUGCAGAGAGUACUUUAAUUCUUGGUUACAUAGAUUUGGUCACCAACUGACUCAAUCCAGCGAUGUGUGUUUACAUGAAAGACGCAAGCAUUCAUACACCAGUUUUAUUCUUUAUCAUUUUUACAGAACGCAAAGAUUAUUGUAACAUUUCCAGAGCUACAGCUGACUGUUGUCAUUAGAGAUGACCUGACAUGGAAACAUUUCACUGAGGUCUCACUGAUGGUAACCUUAGUACUUCUGUCCUCUUGCUGUGAUACAGGCCUGUGGUGCUGUCGCAUAGUUGGACACACCAGGGCUCUGAAGAAGCCGUUUACUACUGCUUAUUUCUUAAACCUGAGAUUUAAAAAAACAAAACAUCCAAAGUGGCAUAAUCCACACCGAUCUUUAAAGUUUGCUUACAUUACUGUUUUCAGUGGAAUCGUUUCAUUAAUCUGACGUAAUCUCUCAAAAGCUGAAGGUACCUGCUUCCUUCCUAGCUCUGAUUCCUGCAGCUCAGGGUGUCUUUGUUAGCCGGGACGGCGGAUCAUUUUAACUCCUGUGAUAAAUGUUCAGUGUAAUUACAAAUCUCACACGCUGAUGUAAACUGAAGGUAAAGUCUAAGACGUCAGUUUGAAUGUUUCAGGUUCAGAUUUUAAGGUAUAAACUCACCUCGUUAAAGCGUUUAGUUUAAUUCUCCAGGACUCGACACUCAGUGUCUUUGUUUUCUUUAACAUUUUUGAUCCUAAUCCUGCUUGUAUUUUAUUUUUUAUUUUUGUGCACUAGGCGCAGUUGUGUAGCAGUUGAGUAUUGCUGGUUAGCUGUUAAGGUGGCGUGUUGCUCUGCUGAGUGCUUGGAUGUAUCCAGUAUUCUCCAGAAUCAUCCUGUGACUACCAGUGGUGCGGUUGCUACAGUCUCACCUUUUGUACAAUGUUUUUUUUGUUUGUUUUUUUCCCCCACAUGGUCAUGGAUGACAAAUGUGACUUUCAUUAAAGAUUUGGUGUUUUGUCUACAA